AUUGAACGCUGGCGGCAGGCUUAACACAUGCAAGUCGAACGAGUGGCGGACGGGUGAGUAAUGUCUGGGAAACUGCCCGAUGGAGGGGGAUAACUACUGGAAACGGUAGCUAAUACCGCAUCCCAUCGGAUGUGCCCAGAUGGGAUUAGCUAGUAGGUGGGGUAAUGGCUCACCUAGGCGACGAUCCCUAGCUGGUCUGAGAGGAUGACCAGCCACACUGGAACUGAGACACGGUCCAGACUCCUACGGGAGGCAGCAGUGGGGAAUAUUGCGCAAUGGGCGCAAGCCGGAUGCAGCCAUGCCGCGUGAAUGAAGAAGGCCUUCGGGUUGUAAAGUACUUUCAGCGAGGAGGCGUUACUCGCAGAAGAAGCACCGGCUAACUCCGUGCCAGCAGCCGCGGGAAUAC
rnacentral:rRNA from 1 species